rnacentral:misc_RNA from 1 species
UGGAAAGAACGCAGAACAAACAUUGGGUCAGAGAGGAAGGAAGCAAAGGGAGGCGACCGGCGUCUAAGAGUUGCAGCCUCCCUAGAAAGCACACUACUACGGCGCAGCACAGCUCGGAUGCGUCACGUGCAGUCUGCUUGGCGGUCAUGCGAACGACAGACGUAUUUUCAUUUCGUCUUUCGCGUAACCAUAGUGCAGCGUAUAGAGUCGGCGUCGUCGCCGUCAGUCUUACAGCCGACGCGUUUCCCCAACAUCGGAACUGUAAACUACGUCCAGAGUGUAAUGGACCAGCGAAACGAGAAAUGAAAAUAAAUAUCGGUACAAGUGAAUCGAUGUUGCUGUAAAACAAUGAACAGCAGGCCGAUAAAUAAAAAGCAAAUAAAUUACAGCGAGCACGAGCUGUUACUUCCAACUGCUAGAAAUCCAGCAAUAGACCUCUUCAAAACGUUAAUCCACUUUCUUUUUUUUUUUUUUUUUAUAAGCAGUUUACUCAAUCAAACUGAAAAAACCUGAUUCUCGAAAAAGCAAACUCUUCGAAAGAGAAAACAUUCUUUGCAAAAGAUAAAAUCUUCUGUAAUACGAAAAAAUUCUUCGCGAGUGACAGAAUCUUCUAAAGCAGGAGAAAUUCGUCGUAAAAUACUGAAGUUUCCCAAACAGAAGAGAUGUUUCGCGAAAAAUCAAAUCCACUAAAACGCUUUUCUCAAGCUAGGAGAAACUUUUUACUUGUCAGUUACAUUUAUUCAUUUAUGCAAACUACAAGUUACAAGUUAGUAGUCUGAGCUUAAGUGCCUUAAUAAUCCUGUCUGUCGUACGCCGGUACGAGCAUGUACUUCAAAAACGAUCAUCUAUUUUCCUGCUACCUGACUGACUCGAAUAGUCAGACUUUUAGUCGAGAGCAAUUUUUAAGCGUAAGACCACGAACCACACUAUACUAAUGAUACUGAAUGUGACAAAAACUUGCAAUCGCGAAUAGUAAACUGCGAAACGAUAUACAUAUAUUCGUGUGUGUUUUCAAGAAAGAAAAAAAGAAAAAAAAAAGAUACUGACAAAAAUCUCGCACGGUAUCAUCGUAACGACACAUUGCUACGAAAUACCAAGUACACUCGACCGCCUUUGAAACCGGUAUAAAAAAAGGCCGAGCGACAGGCCACUGGAACACGCUAUUAAAUAGGCCGAGCUGCUACGAGGGGAAUGAUUAAUCACCACGAAACUGUCUUUUUAGCUUAAAAAUUACUUACAUGACAAACGUGAUCAAU